CCUACGGGAGACAGCAGUGAGGAAUAUUGGUCAAUGGGCGAGAUCCUGAACCAGCCAAGUCGCGUGAGGGAAGACUGCCCUAUGGGUUGUAAACCUCUUUUGUCUGAGAACAAAACCCGGGACGUGUCCCGGACUGCGUGUAUCCGAAGAAAAAGGAUCGGCUAACUCCGUGCCAGCAGCCGCGGUAAUACGGAGGAUGCGAGCGUUAUCCGGAUUUAUUGGGUUUAAAGGGUGCGUAGGCGGUCCGUUAAGUCAGCGGGAAAAUUGUGGGGCUAAACCCUGUCGAGCCGUUGAAACUGGCAGACUUGAGUAGGCGAGAGGUACGCGGAAUGCGCGGUGUAGCGGUGAAAUGCAUAGAUAUCGCGCAGAACUCCGAUUGCGAAGGCAGCGUACCGGCGCCAAACUGACGCUGAGGCACGAAAGCGUGGGGAUCGAACAGGAUUAGAUACCCGUGUAGUC
rnacentral:rRNA from 1 species